rnacentral:rRNA from 1 species
CCUACGGGAGGCAGCAGUAGGGAAUCUUCCACAAUGGGCGAAAGCCUGAUGGAGCAACGCCGCGUGAGUGAUGAAGGCCUUCGGGUUGUAAAACUCUGUCAUUCGGGACGAACCGGAGUCUGAGGAAAUGCAGACUCUCUGACGGUACCGGAGGAGGAAGCCCCGGCUAACUACGUGCCAGCAGCCGCGGUAAUACGUAGGGGGCAAGCGUUGUCCGGAUUCACUGGGCGUAAAGCGCGCGCAGGCGGUGAUGUAAGUCUGAGGUGAAAACCCGAAGCUCAACUUCGGGACUGCCUUGGAUACUGCGUCACUUGAGGAUAGGAGAGGCAAGGGGAAUUCCACGUGUAGCGGUGAAAUGCGUAGAGAUGUGGAGGAACACCUGUGGCGAAGGCGCCUUGCUGGCCUAUUUCUGACGCUGAGGCGCGAAAGCGUGGGGAGCAAACAGGAUUAGAUACCCUGGUAGUCCACGCUGUAAACGAUGAGUGCUAGGUGUAGGUGGGCUCAUACCCAUCUGUGCCGAAGCUAACGCAUUAAGCACUCCGCCUGGGGAGUCGGUCGCAGACUGAAACUCAAGGAAUUGACGG